UCAAGCCCCUCCCCACAGUGUCACAAGUUGCCGUCACCCAGUUCGUUGUCUCCCUUUAGGACCGAACUCGUGGCGGACGGGCGAGGCGGUGAACGAAGUCUAUUCGGAGGUGGACGUUGUGUUCAGAGAGAAAGACUACAGCAACUCAAAGGACUCCCCUGGAGGAAGAGAUUCAGGGUCCUCCUUCGACCACUCCUUCAGCUACGACUCCGGUACGACCAUCACCACAACCACCCCAAGCUCCGUUUUCUGUGCGGCCAUUUUCUGUGUCAGAGUCUUGUGGGGGCAACUAUGAUAAUCACGAAGGUCGUCCACACGUUCACUCCCACCUUCCACCACCCCGAGUAUGGCUCACUCAUGCCCCUCUUGUAGAUGAAAUUAUAAGAAGAAAAAAAAAUGAAAAGAAAAGAAAAAAACCUCAUAAAUUUACAAUCAUUUACUCGU